CGCGGCUACCCAUGCAGUCGAAGCGGAACGAGUUAUCUGAACCUUCGGGGGACGAUAACGGCGUCGAGCGGCGGACGGGUGAGUAAUGCCUAGGAAAUUGCCCUGAUGUGGGGGAUAACCAUUGGAAACGAUGGCUAAUACCGCAUGAUGCCUACGGGCCAAAGAGGGGGACCUUCGGGCCUCUCGCGUCAGGAUAUGCCUAGGUGGGAUUAGCUAGUUGGUGAGGUAAGGGCUCACCAAGGCGACGAUCCCUAGCUGGUCUGAGAGGAUGAUCAGCCACACUGGAACUGAGACACGGUCCAGACUCCUACGGGAGGCAGCAGUGGGGAAUAUUGCACAAUGGGCGCAAGCCUGAUGCAGCCAUGCCGCGUGUGUGAAGAAGGCCUUCGGGUUGUAAAGCACUUUCAGUCGUGAGGAAGGUAGUGUAGUUAAUAGCUGCAUUAUUUGACGUUAGCGACAGAAGAAGCACCGGCUAACUCCGUGCCAGCAGCCGCGGUAAUACGGAGGGUGCGAGCGUUAAUCGGAAUUACUGGGCGUAAAGCGCAUGCAGGUGGUUUGUUAAGUCAGAUGUGAAAGCCCGGGGCUCAACCUCGGAAUUUGCAUUUGAAACUGGCAGACUAGAGUACUGUAGAGGGGGGUAGAAUUUCAGGUGUAGCGGUGAAAUGCGUAGAGAUCUGAAGGAUACCGGUGGCGAGCGCCCCUGGACAGAUACUGACACUCAGAUGCGAAGC
rnacentral:rRNA from 1 species